rnacentral:rRNA from 1 species
CCUACGGGAGGCAGCAGUGAGGAAUAUUGGUCAAUGGGCGCGAGCCUGAACCAGCCAAGUAGCGUGAAGGAUGAAUGCCCUACGGGUUGUAAACUUCUUUUAUAGAGGAAUAAAGUGAGGCACGUGUGCCUUUCUGUAUGUACUUUAUGAAUAAGGAUCGGCUAACUCCGUGCCAGCAGCCGCGGUAAUACGGAGGAUCCGAGCGUUAUCCGGAUUUAUUGGGUUUAAAGGGAGCGUAGAUGGGUUGUUAAGUCAGUUGUGAAAGUUUGGGGCUCAACCGGAGAAUGGCAAUUGAUACUGGCAGCCUUGAGUACAGUUGAGGUAGGCGGAAUGCGUGGUGUAGCGGUGAAAUGCUUAGAUAUCACGCAGAACUCCGAUUGCGAAGGCAGCCUACUAAACUGCCACUGACGUUGAGGCACGAAAGUGUGGGGAUCAAACAGGAUUAGAUACCCGAGUAGUC